rnacentral:rRNA from 1 species
CCUACGGGUGGCAGCAGUGGGGAAUAUUGCACAAUGGGGGAAACCCUGAUGCAGCGACGCCGCGUGAGUGAAGAAGUAAUUCGUUAUGUAAAGCUCUAUCAGCAGGGAAGAAAAUGACGGUAUCUGAGUAAGAAGCCCCGGCUAACUACGUGCCAGCAGCCGCGGUAAUACGGAGGGGGCAAGCGUUAUCCGGAUUUACUGGGUGUAAAGGGCGCGUAGACGGGAGUGCAAGUCUGGAGUGAAAGGCGGGGGCUCAACCCUCGGACUGCAUUGGAAACUGUACGGCUGGAGUGCAGGAGAGGUAGGUGGAAUUCCUGGUGUAGCGGUGAAAUGCGUAGAUAUUAGGAGGAACACCCGUGGCGAAGGCGGCUUACUGGACCGUAACUGACGUUGAGGCUCGAAAGCGUGGGGAGCAAACAGGAUUAGAUACCCUGGUAGUC